GCCCUGAUAGUAUAAACAUUACACUGGUCUUGUAAACCAGUAAUGAAAAAGAAAAUUUUUCUCAGGGCA
rnacentral:tRNA from 1 species